GGAUUUAUUGGGUUUAAAGGGAGCGUAGGCCGGAGAUUAAGUGUGUUGUGAAAUGUAGACGCUCAACGUCUGACUUGCAGCGCAUASUGGUUUCCUKGAGUACGCACAACGUUGGCGGAAUUCGUSGUGUAGCGGUGAAAUGCUUAGAUAUGACGAAGAACUCCGAUUGCGAAGGCAGCUGACGGGAGCGCAACUGACGCUUAAGCUCGAAGGUGCGGGUAUCGAACAGGAUUAGAUACCCUGGUAGUCCGCACAGUAAACGAUGGAUGCCCGCUGUUGGUACUUGGUAUCAGCGGCUAAGCGAAAGCAUUAAGCAUCCCACCUGGGGAGUACGCCGGCAACGGUGAAACUCAAAGGAAUUGACGGGGGCCCGCACAAGCGGAGGAACAUGUGGUUUAAUUCGAUGAUACGCGAGGAACCUUACCCGGGCUUGAAUUGCAGAGGAAGGAUUUAGAGAUA
rnacentral:rRNA from 1 species